UAGGGAAUCUUCCGCAAUGGACGCAAGUCUGACGGAGCAACGCCGCGUGAGUGAAGAAGGAUUUCGGUUCGUAAAACUCUGUUGUUAGAGAAGAACAGCGCAUAGGGUAACUGUUAUGCGUGUGACGGUAUCUAACCAGAAAGCCACGGCUAACUACGUGCCAGCAGCCGCGGUAAUACGUAGGUGGCAAGCGUUGUCCGGAUUUAUUGGGCGUAAAGCGAGCGCAGGCGGUCAAUUAAGUCUGAUGUGAAAGCCCCCGGCUCAACCGGGGAGGGUCAUUGGAAACUGGUUGACUUGAGUGCAGAAGAGGAGAGUGGAAUUCCAUGUGUAGCGGUGAAAUGCGUAGAUAUAUGGAGGAACACCAGUGGCGAAGGCGACUCUCUGGUCUGUAACUGACGCUGAGGCUCGAAAGCGUGGGUAGCAAACAGG
rnacentral:rRNA from 1 species